rnacentral:guide_RNA from 1 species
CAGUGAGAUAGAAUAUAGAUGAGAUUAUAGAGUAAU